AAGAAGUGGUAUCAUCGCAGUGAGGAAAUCUGAGUUUGAUGUCAUCAAGGAAGCAAGAACUAUUCUUAGCUUACCAUCUCAUCCAUGUUUUCCAAUC